rnacentral:snoRNA from 1 species
UAGAAAAGCCCAUGAUGGUGUUACCCAACAUGUCACCCUGUCUGAAGCAUCUCAGUGAUGCAAUCUCUGUGUUCUGAGACUUCUCUAAGU